rnacentral:rRNA from 1 species
CGCCGCGUGAGUGAUGAAGGCCUUCGGGUCGUAAAGCUCUGUCAGAUGGGAAGAAACCUACGCAAGUAGCUGACGGUACCAUCAAAGGAAGCACCGGCUAACUCCGUGCCAGCAGCCGCGGUAAUACGGAGGGUGCAAGCGUUGUUCGGAAUCACUGGGCGUAAAGGGAGCGUAGGCGGACCCUAAAGUCUGAUGUGAAAGCCCGGGGCUCAACUCCGGAAGUGCAUUGGAAACUUAGGGUCUUGAGUUCGGGAGAGGAAGGCAGAAUUCCCGGUGUAGGGGUGAAAUCCGUAGAGAUCGGGAGGAAAACCAGUGGCGAAGGCGGCCUUCUGGAACGAAACUGACGCUGAGGCUCGAAAGCGUGGGGAGCAAACAGGAUUAGAUACCCUGGUAGUCC